CCUGGCCUGCCUCUGUAAAUAUCUUCAAAUCCAAGAGUAUUGCUCUAUGAAUUGAUUUUGAUGAUUAUAAAAUAUUUGAGGGGGUCACUAAUGAUUUUGGCUAGAAAAAAAAGUUAUUGUAUUUCAGGGGCAAAAUCAUAAUUUUAUCAAGUUUUGAUUCGAAAGCCUCAAGAACAAGAACAAAAGAUUUAUGAUCUAUUGGAGGUAAUUUCAUAUUUUUUGGAUGUGUA
rnacentral:lncRNA from 1 species